rnacentral:rRNA from 1 species
UACCAGCACCCCGAGUGGUCGGGACGAUUAUUGGGCCUAAAGCAUCCGUAGCCGGCCUUACAAGUCCCCAGUUAAAUCCAACUGCUUAACAGAUGGGCUGCGGAGGAUACUAUAAGACUAGGAGGCAGGAGAGGCAAGCGGUACUCAGUGGGUAGGGGUAAAAUCCGUUGAUCCAUUGAAGACCACCAGUGGCGAAGGCGGCUUGCCAGAAUGCGCUCGACGGUGAGGGAUGAAAGCUGGGGGAGCAAACCGG